CAAAGCAUAGUUCAAAGCUAGAACACCUCUUUUACACGGAGGAAAUACUCGUUCAACCCGAGUUGCCUUGA
rnacentral:tRNA from 2 species